UCAAAGUAAACAAUUUCUAUGUUGGUUUAUACCUAAACUGCUCCUAAUUCAUAAUCUAACAUCAGAUUGCUAUCAACAGAAAUCAGAACUCUUGCGUUCAAAGAAUCUCCCUUUUCAGCUUUGUGAACUCCACAAUCAAAUUCAAUUCACAGAGGUGAAUCAUCGCAAGUGAAUCGAGAGACUAAAGGGAAGAGAGUACUUGAGAUUUUAAGCAAUCGAGGUUGAGCGGCGACGAGGAUGUGGUGGUGUUGAGCAAGUGAAU